rnacentral:sRNA from 1 species
GUGAUGACACAGACCUGCAGAUCUUCUGUGUUUCCUGUGGGCACCCCAUCAACCCACGUGUUGCCUUGCGCCACAUGGAGCGCUGCUACGCCAAGGUUGGGGUGUCAGACUGAGGGGGCGGACCAUGUGGGAACAUCAGUGGGCCAGUGGGGGACAGAUUUGUUGUCUGGGUGGUGUCUUGGGAGGGCAUGCAGCGCACAUCCACAGUUCCCUCCAUUUGUGCUCAUCCCUCCAGUAUGAGAGCCAGACGUCCUUUGGGUCCAUGUACCCCACACGCAUUGAAGGGGCCACACGACUCUUCUGUGAUGUGUAUAAUCCUCAGAGCAAAACAUACUGUAAGCGGCUCCAGGUGCUGUGCCCCGAGCACUCACGGGACCCCAAAGUAAGGUUUUCCCUCAGCUCCUCCCAUUUUGCCCCUCCUCCCUGCCUCGCUGUCCCACAUUCAUCCCUUCCUUCCUCACCUCACUUUUCCUUCACUUUUUCCUCUCAGCUUCCCUGCUGCUUCACCCUCCAUUCCUCCUUUUCCUUGCCUCCUCACCGU